UGUUCUCCCACUGGCCGUCAUCAUGUCCACUACAGUGAUGAUCUUCAUCACUUCAGUGAUUGGUGUCAUUUACUGCAGACUUAAAGCAAAGCGUCAAGACAAACAUGGAGAUACUCUGAGUGAAUCACUGAGACGAGAUGGUCCAGAAACAAGUGCAGGGGUCGUCUACACAACGGUGGAUUUCAAAGCACGUCCGAAACAACCAGAGGAAAUGUAUGCAAACCUGAGGACGCACAAGGGACACAGUGAAGCUGAGACAACUGGGAUGGUGGAAUACUCCACACUGGCCCUCCAGUGAAUUCAGGUUUUAGAUUUAAACAAAGACCAGUUUAAACAGGCUUGAUUAAAUCAUCCUAAGUGGUCAGCACCAUCUCAUGAGCUGAUUUUAUGAUAUGAUAAUCAUUUUUUGAAGCCGUACUUUGCGGAUGCUGAUUAACUUUGUCCCCGAUUCACCCAAGCAAUUUAUAGCUGCUUCCAUCAUAUGUCUAUACCAAAUGCUUUUUUUUUUUUUUAAUAUUCAGACGAUCUAGAGAUAAAACAACCUGUCUCGAUAUAAAGUAUAAACAAAGAUUUAUAUUAAACACUGCAACCGCUUCAGGACAAGUUUGGAUCUGUUUCUGUGAUUGUGGGAUUUGCAAACAGAAAUAAACGUAAGCAAUAUUAGCUCUCA
rnacentral:lncRNA from 1 species